GGGCCACGGCUGCUACUCUAUAUGUGUUUGUCAGAGAUUUGGAGCAGCCUUUCCUCAGGAGAAACGGAGGAAGCAACGGGGACCUGGAGACCAUCUUCAUAUCAAGAUCCUCCACUCACGUCACAGUACCUUGUCUAGUCACUGUGCCCGACCUCAACGUCACACUUUAUCUGUGGGAGACGAUACCUAUGCUCCUGGAGGAUGAGGGGAUGGGUGGGA